UUUUCUCCGUAAAACCAACUUUGACUGAAGUCCACAGGACUUACCAAUUUGGGCUCCGUCCAGGAGCUGAAAACUGAUUACAAAUAUGAAACGGAUUUCACUACAGGACUUGAACUCUACAUUAAAAAACAAUGAGCUUCCCAAAAUAAUUGAAAAAGAUCUUCACCCAAGAGUAGCUGCAAUGUGAAUGGCAGGAUAUGAAGCAAGUAAAAGGAAAAUUGAAAGCAGUUAAGAACCUGCCCCCUGCUGUGCUGAGUUGGAGUUCUUGGUGCCUGGGUGCAUCCCCAAGGCCACUGGUCUUCAGAUCUUUCUUACUUGAGAAGAACGCCUCCACCUCCGGGCUCUCCCACCAGUGGUACUGCCACCACCACACACCAGCAUAA
rnacentral:lncRNA from 1 species